CCCCUAUUUUUAGAACAUUCUUUACUCAGUGUUCAGCUUAAAAGAACUGUCACCAAAACUCCUUUGUAUUUUCUGUUUUCUUUCAGUUGUAUUGAGAUACAAUUGACCUACAGCCCUAAAUAACUUUAAAGCACACGGCAUAGUGACUUGACCUACAUAUAUAUUGUGAAAUGAUCACCGGAGUAAGUUUAGCAUCCAUUGUUUCACAGAGAUACGGAGAAGAGAGAGACAAUGUUUUUUCCCUGUGACGAGAACUUUUAGGAUCUACUCUCUUAGCGAACCUUCAAAUACGUCGUACAGCUGCAUCAGCCUGGUCCUCACGUUGCGUAUCACACGCCCAGGACUUACUUAUCUUCAGGCUGGGUGCUCCCACCUUCGACCACCUUCCUCCAAUCUCCCCACCCCCCACCCCCUGCCUCUGGUAACCACACAUUUGAUCCCUGUUUCAUGAGUCUGGCUUUUUGUCUUAGAUCCACACGUAAGUGAGAUCACACGGUAUUUAUCUUUCUCAGCCUGACGCAUUUCACUCAGCAUGAUGCCCUCAAGGUCCGUCCGUGUUGUCACAGAUGACAGGAUUUCCUUCUUUUCCGUGGCCGAAGAGUAUUCGACUGUAUACCCACCACACGUCCUGUAUCCACUCACCCGUCGGUGGACGUUUAGUUUGUUUCCAUGGUUUGGCUAUUGUGGAUAAGGCUGCUAUGAACGUGGGGGGGACGCAGAUACCUCCUUGACAUUGUGAUUUCUUUUCCUUCAGAUACACGCUGCAUAUAUAUUCGGAUACGUGCUAAAUCAUGUGGUGGUUCUCAUCCACUCAGUGCUGGAGGCUGAAAGCCCUCCUCUGAGACUGGGAACCAGACAAGGCAUCCAAUCCAGCCUCACUGCCCCUAUUCGACAUGGUCCUGCAACUCCUCAUCAGAGCAAUCAAGCAAGAAAAAAUAUAAAAGCACCAGCAUUGGAAAGGAAGAAAUAAGAUUAUCUCUGUUUGCAAGGGACAUGGUUUUAUAGGUAGAAAAUCCUAAGGAGGCCACCCAAACUUGCGAGGUCAAACCAACUAAGUCAGCAAAGUCGCAAACACAGAAUUAACCAUCUUUAAACGUGCAGUUCGGCAAAUUACACACACGCAUAACCUCCUGCUGUCAACUCCGCCCUCCAUCUCCAGAACUGUCUCAUCCUCCCAAAUGGAAACUGUCCCGGUGAAACAGUAACUCCCUCUUCCCCCUCCCCCCCGCCCCUGCCAUCCACGCUUCCGUUGUUGUCCUACGAGUCUGACCCUUCGGGGGACCUCACCGAAGCCGGACUCAGACAGCGUUUGCGAGGCUUCUGUUUUUACCUCUGUUGAGUUCUUGUUGCUUAUCUCAUACCACGUCCUCAAGGUUCCUCCUUGCUCUGGCAAGUUCAAAAUGUCCUCCCUUGUUAAGGUGGGAAAUUUCCCGCUGUUUGGCUAAACCACGUUUUUCUGAUCUUCUUGUCUGUUGACGGAGGCCUGGGCUGCUUCUGCGUUUUAGCUGUUGUGACUAAUGUUGCAACGGACGUGGGUGUGCAGGUAUCUUUGAGCCCCCCCCCUUCAAGUCUUUUCUCUCUCGAUGUAUAUCCAGAAGUACAAAUGCUGGCUCAAAGGGUAAUUGUAUUUUUAAGUUGUUUGAGGAACCCGCAUACCGUUUCCCACGAGUGUGACAAUUUACGCUUUAUACAGUAGACUCACAGGUUGCAUUGUACAUUUUAUGUUCGCCCCGACAGUGCACGAGGGUUCCAAUUUCUCCACAUCCCUGCCAGCACUUAUUUUCUGGUUUUUGUUUUUGUUUGUAUUUUCAAAAUGCAGCGGGUGCGAGGUUGUAUCCUGUUUUGGCUUGGCUUUCCCUACUGAUGAGUGACAUCAUGCAUGGAUUCUUCUGAGAAAUGUCCGUUCAAGUCCCUUACCCAUGUUUGAACCGGUCGGAAGAGCGUCG